rnacentral:rRNA from 1 species
UGGGGAAUCUUCCGCAAUGGACGAAAGUCUGACGGAGCAACGCCGCGUGAGUGAAGAAGGUUUUCGGAUCGUAAAAACUCUGUCUUUUGGGGCGAACGUGAGUAUGGUGAACAAUCAUAGUCAGUGACGGUACCAAAGGAGGAAGCCACGGCUAACUACGUGCCAGCAGCCGCGGUAAUACGUAGGUGGCAAGCGUUGUCCGGAAUUAUUGGGCGUAAAGAGCGCGUAGGCGGGAUAGUCAGUCUGUUGUAAAAGUGCGGGGCUCAACCCCGUGAUCGCAAUGGAAACAGCUAUUCUUGAGUGCAGGAGAGGAAAGUGGAAUUCCCAGUGUAGCGGUGAAAUGCGUAGGUAUUGGGAGGAACACCAGUGGCGAAGGCGACUUUCUGGACUGUGUCUGACGCUGAGGCGCGAAAGCCAGGGGAGCGAACGGGAUUAGAUACCCCGGUAGUCCUGGCCGUAAACGAUGGGUACUAGGUGUGGGAGGUAUCGACCCCCUUUCCGUGCCGGAGUUAACGCAAUAAGUACCCCCGCCUGGGGAGUACGGUCGCAAGACUGAAACUUAAAUGAAUUGACGGGGUCAUAGCUGUUUCCUG